UACGUAGGGGGCAAGCGUUGUCCGGAAUCAUUGGGCGUAAAGCGCGUGUAGGCGGCUCGGUAAGUCCGCUCUGAAAGUCCAGGGCUCAACCAUGGGAUGCGGGUGGAUACUGCCGGGCUAGAGUCCGGAAGAGGCGAGUGGAAUUCCCGGUGUAGCGGUGAAAUGCGCAGAUAUCGGGAGGAACACCAAUGGCGAAGGCAGCUCGCUGGGACGUGACUGACGCUGAGACGCGAAAGCGUGGGGAGCAAACAGG
rnacentral:rRNA from 1 species